rnacentral:misc_RNA from 1 species
AUGAACGCAAGUGAAUUCCGAAGGAGAGGGAAGGAGAUGGUGGAUUACAUGGCCAACUACAUGGAAGGCAUUGAGGGACGCCAGGUCUACCCUGACGUGGAGCCCGGGUACCUGCGGCCGCUGAUCCCUGCCGCUGCCCCUCAGGAGCCAGACACGUUUGAGGACAUCAUCAACGACGUUGAGAAGAUAAUCAUGCCUGGGGGAAGUGCCAGUGAAGCCACCCUGGUGGCCCUGCUGGCCGCUCGGACCAAAGUGAUCCAUCGGCUGCAGGCAGCGUCCCCAGAGCUCACACAGGCCGCUAUCAUGGAGAAGCUGGUGGCUUACUCAUCCGAUCAGGCACACUCCUCAGUGGAAAGAGCUGGGUUAAUUGGUGGAGUGAAAUUAAAAGCCAUCCCCUCAGAUGGCAACUUCGCCAUGCGUGCGUCUGCCCUGCAGGAAGCCCUGGAGAGAGACAAAGCGGCUGGCCUGAUUCCUUUCUUUAUGGUUGCCACCCUGGGGACCACAACAUGCUGCUCCUUUGACAAUCUCUUAGAAGUCGGUCCUAUCUUUUGCAGAUUCAUUCAACUUUAAUCCCCACAAAUGGCUAUUGGUGAAUUUUGACUGUUCUGCCAUGUGGGUGAAAAAGAGAACAGACUUAACGGGAGCCUUUAGACUGGACCCCACUUACCUGAAGCACAGCCAUCAGGAUUCAGGGCUUAUCACUGACUACCGGCAUUGGCAGAUACCACUGGGCAGAAGAUUUCGCUCUUUGAAAAUGUGGUUUGUAUUUAGGAUGUAUGGAGUCAAAGGACUGCAGGCUUAUAUCCGCAAGCAUGUCCAGCUGUCCCAUGAGUUUGAGUCACUGGUGCGCCAGGAUCCCCGCUUUGAAAUCUGUGUGGAAGUCAUUCUGGGGCUUGUCUGCUUUCGGCUAAAGGGUUCCAACAAAGUGAAUGAAGCUCUUCUGCAAAGAAUAAACAGUGCCAAAAAAAUCCACUUGGUUCCAUGUCACCUCAGGGACAAGUUUGUCCUGCGCUUUGCCAUCUGUUCUCGCACGGUGGAAUCUGCCCAUGUGCAGCGGGCCUGGGAACACAUCAAAGAGCUGGCGGCCGACGUGCUGCGAGCAGAGAGGGAGUAGGAGUGAAGCCAGCUGCAGGAAUCAAAAAUUGAAGAGAGAUAUAUCUGAAAACUGGAAUAAGAAGCAAAUAAAUAUCAUCCUGCCUUCAUGGAACUCAGCUGUCUGUGGCUUCCCAUGUCUUUCUCCAAAGUUAUCCAGAGGGUUGUGAUUUUGUCUGCUUAGUAUCUCAUCAACAAAGAAAUAUUAUUUGCUAAUUAAAAAGUUAAUCUUCAUGGCCAUAGCUUUUAUUCAUUAGCUGUGAUUUUUGUUGAUUAAAACAUUAUAGAUUUUCAUGUUCUUGCAGUCAUCAGAAGUGGUAGGAAAGCCUCACUGAUAUAUUUUCCAGGGCAAUCAAUGUUCACGCAACUUGAAAUUAUAUCUGUGGUCUUCAAAUUGUCUUUUGUCAUGUGGCUAAAUGCCUAAUAAACAAUUCAAGUGAAAUACUAA